rnacentral:pre_miRNA from 1 species
CAACACCGUGGUUGGUGUUCAACACCAGGGACAUAUAAUAUUAUGUUAACCUGUGUGUGAAUGGUGUUCAGCACCAGGGACAGGUGUGUUUAUCU